UCUCCGCUCUCACACUCCAUCUCCCUCUCACUCUCCCUCCCCCUCCCCCUCUCACUCUCCCUCCCCAUCUCACUCUCCGACUUCUUCGGCAAGCGAUCACGAGUGUGGAUGUGAACCUCAGGCUCAGGAGCUAACUAGGGCUCAGAGGAAGGGUGUUCGCAGAAAGAAGACGAAGGAAGCUGCUUCCUGCCGCCAAAAAAUCAACGGGCAAUUAUUGCCUAAUGCAAGCAUAUAGGUGCGGUAAUCACAGACAAGCAUCCUCCAGGUGUUCGAGAAAAUGCCCAAACGCCAGCUUUGCAAACUUCUAAGCGUUGAGGAGCACCCAAUUGUUCAAAAAUUGAGUGGGUUAUUUGGAGCUGCACUUUACAUAACUUCUCUUUCAUAUGGACAUUUAUAUAGAAAGAUGUGGAUGGUACUUACCGGUUCAAGGCUCGUUGGUAUAUUAUUUCAGAAGAAACUGCUACAGGAAGACAACCACAUAACUUAAGAAGAGAGUUCUACCGAACGAAUGACUUCACGGAUGCUGAGUUAAUCGGCAGAGGCUUGCGAGUUCCAAAGUUGGAAGUGAGAUUAUAAGCAGGGGUUUGACUUUUUGAGCGCCACCACUAUUCUUGCAAGACUUGAGGCAAAAUUAGUUCAAGAUAAAUUACUAUGACUAUUUGUUAUAAUUAGUUUCUUUGUUUUUAGUCUUUACAAAGUUGUAUGAAACAUUUCAUUUUGCUAGUGAUGAUGAAGUCUUUUAAUAUAUUGAUCGAGUUUAUUUUGA